UCUCAUCUAGCUCAGUUGGUAGAGCACGAGACUCUUAAUCUCAGCGUCACGGGUUUGAGCCCCACGUUGAGCA